CUGGCUGCGGUUUCUCCUCUUUUCCUGAUUUCCCAGCGGCUCUUGCGCGAGUCCGCCCCUCCCGCCGCCUUUAGCCUGCCUCGCGGAGACCAAAGCUGCUCCCGUUAAAGCGCAGUCAUACAAGCCCCGCCCCCUGUCUGCCCAAUAGGGAGUGUUCCCUUCCGGAAGUAAGCGCGCAUGCCUUGUUCUGAUUGGACGAGAGGCACUCCUCUAAUUCCUGUGACGUCGACAGCUGCAUUCUUUUAGGGAUAACCCCUAAAUUAUUGAUUUGGUUACGUUAAUUAUGAUAAGACAUUUUUAUCUCAAUUUUAUUUAAUAAAUCUUCUCAUUUUAUUAACCAAGUAUUAUAUUCAAAAAUCUAAAUUCAGCAAUAAAGCUCCUAAUUUUCUUGAUUUUCUUGCCCAAGUUAGAUGUUACUUACAUUCCAUUUCCCCCAGUACAAACAAAAAAUCUAUUAAAACGUAUCACCUUGCUCAACUGUAUAAUUUAAUAUAAGUUUAUUUUUUUGCCUGUAUAUCCCCUGGCGUUUAUUUUGAACGUUUGAUGUACAGUUUACUGUUCCUUGUUCUUUUGCUGUAUGUCACUUUUGUUCUGCAUCAAUAAAAAAAAAAAAAACCC